GCUGCAUGGCUGUCGUCAGCUCGUGUCGUGAGAUGUUGGUUAAGUCCCGCAACGAGCGCAACCCCUAUCUUUAGUUGCCAUCAUUGAGUUGGGCACUCUAAAGAGACUGCCGGUGUCAAACCGGAGGAAGGUGGGGAUGACGUCAAGUCCUCAUGGCCUUUAUGACCAGGGCUACACACGUACUACAAUGGCCGGUACAAAGGGCAGCGACACAGCGAUGUGAAGCGAAUCCCGAAAAGCCGGUCUCAGUCCGGAUUGGAGUCUGCAACUCGACUCCAUGAAGUUGGAAUCGCUAGUAAUCGCGGAUCAGCACGCCGCGGUGAAUACGUUCCCGGGCCUU
rnacentral:rRNA from 1 species